GCCUGCUUAGCAUAGUGGCUAAUGCGUUGCACUUGUACAUAUCGCGACGAUAUGCAAAGAUCACAGGUUCGAUUCCUGUAGCAGGCA